GUAGGGAAUAUUGCAUAAUGGGCGCAAGCCUGAUGCAGCAACGCCGCGUGCGCGAUGAAGGCCUUCGGGUUGUAAAGCGCUUUUAGCUGGGAAGAGCAAGGACGGUACCAGCAGAAUCAGCCUCGGCUAACUACGUGCCAGCAGCCGCGGUAAAACGUAGGAGGCGAGCGUUAUCCGGAUUUACUGGGUGUAAAGCGCGUGCAGGCGGUUUAUUAAGUUGGGUGUGAAAGCUCCUGGCUCAACUGGGAGAGGUCGCUCAAGACUGAUAGACUAGAGAGCAGUAGGGGAAGGUGGAAUUCCGGGUGUAGUGGUGAAAUGCGUAGAUAUCCGGAGGAACACCAGUGGCGAAGGCGGCCUUCUAGACUGUAUCUGACGCUCAGACGCGAAAGCUAGGGUAGCAAACGGGAUUAGAAACCCGAGUAGUCC
rnacentral:rRNA from 1 species